rnacentral:rRNA from 1 species
UACGUAGGUGGCGAGCGUUGUCCGGAUUUACUGGGCGUAAAGAGCGCGCAGGCGGUCGUACAAGUCGCGUGUGAAAGCCCCCGGCUCAACUGGGGAGGGUCACGCGAUACUGAUCGACUCGAAGGCAGGAGAGGGUAGUGGAAUUCCCGGUGUAGUGGUGAAAUGCGUAGAUAUCGUCAAGAACACCGAUAGUGAAGACAGCUAACUAAGCUUUAACUGACGCUGAGGCACGAAAAGUGUGGGGAUCAAACAGG